rnacentral:rRNA from 1 species
GAUGAACGCUGGCGGCGUGCCUAAUACAUGCAAGUCGAGCGAACGGACGAGAAGCUUGCUUCUCUGAUGUUAGCGGCGGACGGGUGAGUAACACGUGGAUAACCUACCUAUAAGACUGGGAUAACUUCGGGAAAACGGAGCUAAUACCGGAUAAUAUUUUGAACCGCAUGGUUCAAAAGUGAAAGACGGUCUUGCCGUCACUUAUAGAUGGAUCCGCGCUGCAUUAGCUAGUUGGUAAGGUAACGGCUUACCAAGGCAACGAUGCAUAGCCGACCUGAGAGGGUGAUCGGCCACACUGGAACUGAGACACGGUCCAGACUCCUACGGGAGGCAGCAGUAGGGAAUCUUCCGCAAUGGGCGAAAGCCUGACGGAGCAACGCCGCGUGAGUGAUGAAGGUCUUCGGAUCGUAAAACUCUGUUAUUAGGGAAGAACAUAUGUGUAAGUAACUGUGCACAUCUUGACGGUACCUAAUCAGAAAGCCACGGCUAACUACGUG